rnacentral:rRNA from 1 species
CAGUAGCCGCGGUAAUACGAGGGGUGCAAGCGUUAUUCGGAUUGAUUGGGUGUAAAGGGUGUGCAGACGGCUUAUUAAGUCACUUGUUAAAUUCCUCGUCCUAACUGAAGGUCUGCAAGUGAUACUGAUGAGCUAGAGGGUGGAAGAGAGAAGUGGAAUUCUCGGAGUAGCGGUAAAAUGCGUAGAUCUCGAGAGGAACACCAAUGGCGAAGGCAGCUUCUUGGUCCAUUCCUGACGUUCAUACACGAAAGCGUGGGGAGCAAACAGGAUUAGAUACCCCGGUAGUCCCUGUCUCUUAUAC